ensembl:miRNA gga-mir-1737 gga-mir-1737
CCUGCUGCUGCUGCAGCACUGCUGCGCUCGGUGUCCCACUGCCCCUCAGCAGCACCGUCCCGGGCUCCGCUCUGUGCUGUGAGCAGCAGGAGG